CUCGGGCACUGAUUCUCAACCCUGGCUAACCACUAAAAAUUUACUCAAGGAGCUUUUAAAAAGUAUCAGUGCCUAGGACACAACACAGGUUAAUUGAAUAAGAACUUCGGGAGGAGACUCUAGUAGCAAAUAGCAGCCUUGGUGGGAUGAAGAUCAUUACAAAAGAAUGCAAAGAGACAGAGUGGACAGUCCCUUCCGACACGCAAGCCAGGACAGACACAGAAAGAAAACCUUUGGAACAGGAAAAGAAGAGCUCUUUUGACAAAGCAAAGGAGGAUCACAGAGUUCCAGCCCUGGGGGCUGCGUCUGGGGGUUUCCUGGCAUUAGAGGAGCUGAUGGUGAAUUUUCCCUCAACCAUCACCGGAAAUGUGAAACUCAGUGGAGCUCCCUGUUCCCACAGGGUCACAUUCAAGCACAAUUCAAAUAUGAAUACAGUAAAAUCAUGAGAUCCCAGCUACUCUCAACAAGGCUUA
rnacentral:lncRNA from 1 species